ensembl:lncRNA
CAAAAUUAGUAUAUGGAAAUCUGUGGUGUUUUUUGUACACUAAUUACAAACUAUCAAAAAGAGAAAGUAAGAAAACAAUCUCAUUUACAAUUGUAUCAAAAAGGAAAAUACCUCGGGGCUGGCCCCGUGGCCGAGUGGUUAAGUUUGCGCGCUCCGCUGCAGGCGGCCCAGUGUUUCGUUGGUUCGAAUCCUAGGCGCGGACAUGGCACUGCUCAUCAGACCACGCUGAGGCAGCGUCCCACAUGCCACAACUAGAAGAACCCACAACGAAGAAUACACAACUAUGUACCGGGGGGCUUUGGGGAGAAAAAGGAAAAAAUAAAAUCUUUUUUUUUUAAAAAAAAAAGGAAAAUACCUAGGAAUAAAUUUAACCAAAGAAGUGAAAGACCUGUAUAUUGAAAAUUGUAAGACGCUGAUGAAAGAAAUCAAAGAAGACAGAAAUAAAUGAAAGAUAUUCCCUGCUCAUAGAUUGAGAGAAUUAAUAGUGUUAAAAUGUCCAUACUACUCAAAGCAAGCUACAGAUUUCUUGCAAUUCCUAUCAAAAUUCCAGCAGCAUUUUUCACAAAACUUGGACAAUAAUUCUAAAAUUUGUAUAGAACGAAGUGAUCCUGAAUAGCCAAAGCCAUCUGGAGAAAAAAGGACAAAGCUGGAAGUAUGAUAUUCCCUGAUUUCAGACUAUGCUACAAAGCCAUAGUAAUCAAAACAGUGUGGUAUUGACAUGGAAACAGACACACAGAUUAAUGAAACAAAAUUUAGAGCCCAGAAAUAAUCCUGUACAUAUAUGGACAAUUAAUUAAUGACAAAGUAGCCAAGAACAUAUAAUGAAGACAGAAUAAUCUCUUCAAUAAAUGGCACUGGGAAAACAGGAGAGCCACAUAAAAAAGAGUGAAACUAGACUAAUAUAUUACAUCAUACACAAAAAUUAAAUCAAAAUGGAUUAAAGACUUUAAUGUAAGACCUGAAAUCAUACAAUUCCUAGAAGAAAACUUAGGCAGGAGGCUCUUUAACAUUAGUUUUUCCAAAAUUUUGUGGAUCUGACUCCAAAGACAAGUGAAACAAAAGCAAAAAUAAAUAAAUGGGAAUACAUGAAACUAAAAUGCUUCUGCGAGGGAGAUCUCUUCAAGAUGGUGGUGUGAGCAGACAUUGAACUCGCCUCCUCCCACGAACACAACCAGGUUACAACAAUUUUUGGAAGAAUUACCCUGGAUUGAAAGCUGAAAACUGGAUAAAAAAAAAGGGACAGUCCUGACGAAGGCAGAAGAGGCAGUAAGUAAUUCCUGCUGGAGAGGAAAAAAGCCACCUUUGGGAGCAGCAGAUCUUCUCAGCUGGCCAGGCAGGAGCCACCCUAAGGUGUGUGGAAGACAGAUACGUCUUGGAAACUGACAGUAGAUUGUUGCAAGCUUAACUUAAUGGUGACUAACUGCAGCUGCUGUACCGGAUGGAAUUUCAUUGCUUAAGCAAAUUCACAGAUCUCCUGGUACCUGGUCUUACAGUGGGAACCACAGCCACUCAAAUGGAAAGUCAGUGCAGUGGGAGUAAUUGGAUCCCAGAAUGGCAGUGGCCAAGUGGCAUCACUCAAACUUCAAAGGCCAGACCCAUCAGAAACAGUUUUGUUUAAGGUGGCAAGGCCAGCAAUACAUCUUCACUGUCUUACCUCUGAAGUACAUCAACUCUCCAGCCCUAAAUUACAUUUGGUGUGCGGGGAUCUUGAUCAACAUUCCCUUUCAAAGGAUAUCAUAUUGACCCAUUAUGUUAAUGAAAUUGUGCUGAAUGGACCCAGUAAGCAGAAAUAACAACUACUGUACACUUGUUGGAUUCAUGAACAGAUUGUCAUGGUGGCGGGAUUGAAGGUUAUGCAUGGGCUCAGAAACAUGGACCUCCACUCACCCAGGCUGAGUGCUAAUCUGCCAGCAGCAGACAGCAACACUGUGUCGUUGACAUGGCACAAUUCUAAGGAUGUUCAGCCAGCUAUUUGGUAGCAGGUUGAUUACAUUGGACCACUUUCAUCAUGGAAAGGGAUCUUUAUCACCAUUCUUUCCCCAAAGAUAUUACACUAAUCAACUACAUUAAUGAAUUUAUGCUGAUAGAACCUAUUGAACAAGAAUUGCAACUUCUCUACAGUUAUUGCCUACAGCUAAGACCUCAUGAAUAGCUUCCUAAGAUCAGUUGACAGAGGAAGAGAAAACACAAGUCUGUUUACAGAUGGUUUUGCACCAUAUACAGACUUUAUGCUCUGUUGAACUAGAAGUCUAUGUUCCAGAAGAAAGAAUGCUUCCAACAGGAGAUAAAAUGAUAACCCCCUCGAAUAAAAGUUAAGACUGCCACCUGGCUACAUCGUGUAUCUCAUACCUCUGAAUAAACUUGCAAGGAAGGGA